UACGGAGGGUGCAAGCGUUAUCCGGAUUCACUGGGUUUAAAGGGUGCGUAGGUGGGGUGGUAAGUCAGUGGUGAAAUCUCCGAGCUUAACUUGGAAACUGCCAUUGAUACUAUCAUUCUUGAAUAUUGUGGAGGUCAGCGGAAUAUGUCAUGUAGCGGUGAAAUGCUUAGAUAUGACAUAGAACACCAAUUGCGAAGGCAGCUGGCUACACAUAUAUUGACACUGAGGCACGAAAGUGUGGGGAUCAAACAGG
rnacentral:rRNA from 1 species